UACGUAGGGGGCUAGCGUUGUCCGGAAUCAUUGGGCGUAAAGCGCGUGUAGGCGGUCCGGUAAGUCCGCUGUGAAAGUCGAGGGCUCAACCCUCGAAUGCCGGUGGAUACUGUCGGGCUAGAGUGCGGAAGAGGCGAGUGGAAUUCCUGGUGUAGCGGUGAAAUGCGCAGAUAUCAGGAGGAACACCAAUUGCGAAGGCAGCUCGCUGGGACGUGACUGACGCUGAGACGCGAAAGCGUGGGGAGCAAACAGG
rnacentral:rRNA from 1 species